rnacentral:rRNA from 1 species
UACGUAGGGUGCGAGCGUUAAUCGGAAUUACUGGGCGUAAAGCGUGCGCAGGCGGUUUUGUAAGCCAGAUGUGAAAUCCCCGGGCUCAACCUGGGAAUGGCAUUUGGGACUGCAAGGCUGGAGUUUGGCAGAGGAGACUGGAAUUCCCGGUGUAGCAGUGAAAUGCGUAGAUAUCGGGAGGAACACCAGUGGCGAAGGCAGGUCUCUGGGCAUUAACUGACGCUGAGGAGCGAAAGCAUGGGGAGCGAACAGG